UACGUAGGGUGCGAGCGUUGUCCGGAAUUAUUGGGCGUAAAGAGCUCGUAGGCGGUGUGUCGCGUCGGCCGUGAAAACCUGGGGCUCAACUCUGGGCGUGCGGUCGAUACGGGCAUCACUUGAGUUCGGCAGGGGAGACUGGAAUUCCUGGUGUAGCGGUGAAAUGCGCAGAUAUCAGGAGGAACACCGAUGGCGAAGGCAGGGUCUCUGGGCUGACACUGACGCUCAUGCACGAAAGCGUGGGGAGCAAACAGG
rnacentral:rRNA from 1 species